rnacentral:rRNA from 1 species
GAUGAACGCUAGCGGCAGGCUUAAUACAUGCAAGUCGUGGGGCAGCAUGAGUGUAGCAAUACAUUUGAUGGCGACCGGCAAACGGGUGCGGAACACGUACACAACCUUCCUAUAAGUGGGGAAUAGCCCAGAGAAAUUUGGAUUAAUACCCCGUAACAUAAUGAUGUGGCAUCACAUUAUUAUUAUAGCUUCGGCGCUUAUUGAUGGGUGUGCGGCUGAUUAGAUAGUUGGCGGGGUAACGGCCCACCAAGUCUACGAUCAGUAGCUGAUGUGAGAGCAUGAUCAGCAGAACGGGGACUGAGACACGGGCCCGAGUCCUAGGGGAGGCAGCAGUACGGAAUAUUGGUAAAUGGACGCAAGUCUGAACCAGCCAUGCCGCGUGAAGGAUUAAGGUCCUCUGUAUUGUAAACUUCUUUUAUCGGGGACGAAAAAAGGCGAUUCUUCGUCACUUGACGGUACCAGAUGAAUAAGCACCGGCUAACUCCGUGCCAGCAGCCGCCGUAACAC